UUUACCCCUCUCUUGUCCAUUUCCUCACCCCCCAACUCCCACCUCUCUCUCUCUCUCUCUCUCUCUCUCUCUCUCUCGGUCUCAGCUCCUGCUCAGGAAUCGUCUCCAAGGCGAGCAGGUCGAUCAUCAGUGAAGCUUCCAAGAAUUCAAGAGUCCGGUUUCAAGAAGUAAAAAGGAGGCGGCGGCGGAGAGAAUGGAGGCGUCGUCGUCGUCGGCGGCGGAGAGAAUGGAGGCGUCGUCGUCGUCGGCGGCGGCGAGAGGUCCAGGGACAGAGUCGCAAGGGCUGACGAGGCGGCCGUCGCGGAACGCGGCGACGACGACGGUCCCGACGGAGGUGUUCUACAACGAGGUGGUGCCGCCGUCGCUUGCUGGGAUCGUCCCCAUCCUCCGCGUCGCUGCCGAGAUCGAGCAAGAACGCCCUCGCGUCGCCUAUCUUUUAUCAUUAGGGACAAGCAAGCAAAGAUUAGUCAAUAUCUUCUAAGUUUUAACUGAAGGAUCUAGAAUUGUACUUCAUCAAGCAUUUUGAUCCUGCAACGAGAAUAAUAAACUCUAAGUCAUGGUCUCGGAAGCCAUCAGAAUAGGAUGUUACGACCAAUACCUUACCGCUUUGGUGUGAAAUUGGCGCCAACAUAGGUGCUGGGAUGCCAGAACCGUGUUCCAGUACAUACUGGCCAUAUUAGUUUGGACUGAUGCGCACCGGUGUGUACGAGAUUUUUUUUUUCAUUUGUUUUGAAUGUAUCAGUUUCAGUAUAUCUCCUCUAUACUUGUACCAUGCCUGUACUUUAUCAUUCCAAUAGAAAAAUGAUAGGGGGUUCAUACCACUAUUUAUAACCUUGCUAUAAGCUAAACAUAAUAUGAUUUCAUUUCUAGUCUUCUUAGAAUCCUACGUUCACAAACGUGAAGCCAUUUCUUGAGAAGUGUCUCGAUAAUUAUUUUUAUGGUAUGCGGUCUGUAAUAUUGAAGUAAACAAUUUAAUUAUAAAUUUUAUCUUCCUUUUCAA